rnacentral:rRNA from 1 species
GAUGAACGCUGGCGGCGUGCCUAAUACAUGCAAGUCGAGCGAACAGACGAGGAGCUUGCUCCUUUGACGUUAGCGGCGGACGGGUGAGUAACACGUAGGUAACCUACCUAUAAGACUGGGAUAACUUCGGGAAACCGGAGCUAAUACCGGAUAAUAUUUCGAACCGCAUGGUUCGAUAGUGAAAGAUGGCUUUGCUAUCACUUAUAGAUGGACCUGCGCCGUAUUAGCUAGUUGGUAAGGUAACGGCUUACCAAGGCAACGAUACGUAGCCGACCUGAGAGGGUGAUCGGCCACACUGGAACGGAGACACGGUCCAGACUCCUACGGGAGGGAGCAGUAGGGAAUCUUUCGCAAUGGGCGAAAGCCUGACGGAGCAACGCCGCGUGAGUGAUGAAGGUCUUCGGAUCGUAAAACUCUGUUAUUAGGGAAGAACGAACGUGUAAGUAACUGUGCACGUCUUGACGGUACCUAAUCAGAAAGCCACGGCUAACUACGUG